rnacentral:rRNA from 1 species
GAUGAACGCUGGCGGCGUGCCUAAUACAUGCAAGUCGAGCGAACGGACGAGAAGCUUGCUUCUCUGAUGUUAGCGGCGGACGGGUGUGUAACACGUGGAUAACCUACCUAUAAGAGUGGGAUCACUUCGGGAAACCGGAGCUAAUACCGGAUAAUAUUUUGAACCGCAUGGUGCAAUAGUGAAAGACGGUCUUGCUGUCACUUAUAGAUGGAUCCGCGCUGCAUUAGCUAGUUGGUAAGGUAACGGCUUACCAAGGCAACGAUGCAUAGCCGACGUGAGAGAGUGAUCGGCCACACGGGAGCUGAGACACGGUCCAGACUCCUACGGGAGGCCGCAGUAGGGAAUCUUACGCAAUGGGCGAAAGCCUGACGGAGCAACGCCGCGUGAGUGAUGAAGGUCUUCGGAGCGUAAAACUCUGUUAUGAGGGAAGAACAUAUGUGUAAGUAACUGUGCACAGCUUGACGGUACCUAAUCAGAAAGCCACGGCUAACUACGUG